UGAAACGGCACGGGAGAGCGCGGUGGGUCACCACCGCCACCGAAGGAGCAACCGCCCCGGAAUCUCUCAGGUCAUCGGGACCGUGUCGUUGAU
rnacentral:ncRNA from 2 species